rnacentral:rRNA from 1 species
AUUGAACGCUGGCGGCAGGCCUAACACAUGCAAGUCGAGCGAGCGGCGGACGGGUGAGUAAUGUCUGGGAAACUGCCUGAUGGAGGGGGAUAACUACUGGAAACGGUAGCUAAUACCGCAUACCAUCAGAUGUGCCCAGAUGGGAUUAGCUGGUAGGUGGGGUAACGGCUCACCUAGGCGACGAUCCCUGGCUGGUCUGAGAGGAUGACCAGCCCCACUGGAACUGAGACACGGUCCAUACUCCUACGGGAGGCAGCAGUGGGGAAUAUUGCACAAUGGGCGCAAGCCUGAUGCAGCCAUGCCGCUUGUGUGAAGAAGGCCUUCGGGUUGUAAAGCACUUUCAGCGGGGAGGCGUUACCCGCAGAAGAAGCACCGGCUAACUCCGUGCCAGCAGCCGCGGUAAUAC